CCUACGGGUGGCAGCAGUGAGGAAUAUUGGUCAAUGGGCGGAAGCCUGAACCAGCCAAGUCGCGUGAGGGAUUAAGGCCCUGCGGGUCGUACACCUCUUUUGUCGGGGAACAAAGGGCGCCACGCGUGGCGUUGUGAGUGUACCCGAAGAAAAAGCAUCGGCUAACUCCGUUCCAGCAGCCGCGGUAAUACGGAGGAUGCGAGCGUUAUCCGGAUUUAUUGGGUUUAACGGGUGCGUAGGCGGUCCGGAAAGUCAGCGGUAAAAGCCCGGGGCUCAACCCCGGCGAGCCGUUGAAACUGGCGGACUAGAGACGGCGAGAAGUACGCGGAAUGCGCGGUGUAGCGGUGAAAUGCAUAGAUAUCGCGCAGAACUCCGAUUGCGAAGGCAGCGUACCGGCGCCGGACUGACGCUGAGGCACGAAAGCGUGGGUAUCGAACAGGAUUAGAUACCCGUGUAGUC
rnacentral:rRNA from 1 species